AGUGAACGCUGGCGGUAGGCCUAACACAUGCAAGUCGAACGGCAGCACAGUAAGAGCUUGCUCUUACGGGUGGCGAGUGGCGGACGGGUGAGGAAUACAUCGGAAUCUACUUUUUCGUGGGGGAUAACGUAGGGAAACUUACGCUAAUACCGCAUACGACCUACGGGUGAAAGCAGGGGAUCUUCGGACCUUGCGCGAUUGAAUGAGCCGAUGUCGGAUUAGCUAGUUGGCGGGGUAAAGGCCCACCAAGGCGACGAUCCGGAGCUGGUCUGAGAGGAUGAUCAGCCACACUGGAACGGAGACACGGUCCAGACUCCUAAGGGAGGCAGCAGUGGGGAAUAUUGGACAGUGGGCGCAAGCCUGAUCCAGCCAUACCGCGUGGGUGAAGAAGGCCUUCGGGUUGUAAAGCCCUUUUGUUGGGAAAGAAAAGCAGCAGGUUAAUACCCCGCUGUUCUGACGGUACCCAAAGAAUAAGCACCGGCUAACUUCGUG
rnacentral:rRNA from 1 species